rnacentral:tRNA from 1 species
GCAGGCGUGGCUGAAUGGUUACGCUGUUCGCUUUCUAAGCGGAUGACAAUGGGUUCGAUUCCCAUCUGCC